rnacentral:tRNA from 197 species
GGAAGGGUGGCCGAGUGGUUUAAGGCACCGGUCUUGAAAACCGGCGUGCCCGCAAGGGUACCGUGGGUUCGAAUCCCACCCCUUCCGCCA